UAAAAAAUUUUGGCGGUAUUUUAAGCUUAUUAGAGGAAUUUGCUCUGUGAUGGACACAACGCCUUAAUCUUACUUAAUUUAGUAAUUUAAAUCAGUUUGUAUACCACUAUAUUAAUUAUAUUGAAUAGUUAUAUUUAAAAUUUUUAUAAAAAAAUAUAUUAAGUCAAGGUGCAUCUAAUAAUUAUGAAUGAAGUGAAUUACAUUAAUUUUAAUGUAAUUUUUUACAUGAAAAAAUUAAUUAGGAUUUAAUAGUAAAAUACUAAUAUUAUGAGUAUUUGAAUCAAGCUCUAAAAUAUGCACAUAUCGCCCGUCGCUCUCAGAAGUGAGAUAAGUCGUAACAAAGUAAAAAUACUGGAAAGUGUUUUUUAAAAUGAAAUCAUUUGAUGUUUCAUUUACAAUGAAAAUUUUGUUGCUUAACCAUUUUAA
rnacentral:rRNA from 1 species